GAUGAACGCUAGCUACAGGCUUAACACAUGCAAGUCGCGGGGCAGCAUGGGGGUUGCUUGCAAUCCCCGAUGGCGACCGGCGCACGGGUGAGUAACGCGUAUCCAUCCUGCCCUUCACCACGGGAGAACCCGGCGAAAGUCGGACUAAUACCGUAUGUUGUCCAUUGAUGGCAUCCGAUUUGGACGAAAGGUUUGGCGGUGAAGGAUGGGGAUGCGUCCGAUUAGCUGGACGGCGGGGUGACGGCCCACCGUGGCGACGAUCGGUAGGGGUUCUGAGAGGAAGGUCCCCCACACUGGAACUGAGACACGGUCCAGACUCCUACGGGAGGCAGCAGUGAGGAAUAUUGGUCAAUGGGCGUAAGCCUGAACCAGCCAAGUAGCGUGCAGGAUGACGGCCCUAUGGGUUGUAAACUGCUUUUAUGCGGGGAUAAAGUGGCCCACGUGUGGGUUUUUGCAGGUACCGCAUGAAUAAGGACCGGCUAAGUCCGUG
rnacentral:rRNA from 1 species